rnacentral:lncRNA from 1 species
GAUAUUGGCUCUCUAAGGAGCAACAGGUGCUGCUGCCACAACCUAGCUGUCUCGUCCACCAGCCUCAGCAGAAAUGACCCAGUCCCUGUAAAAAGGGCUCUGAAGAAUGCAGCUACCUGCAUGUUCCCUGACGUUAAAGGAUGGCAUUCCCUUUCCUGGCACAGGCAAACACAAAUGUGGGCCAGGAUCUGGCCACUGCAAGCUGAUUCUCCUGUUACCACUCUCUUUCCCUUUCCUAUUUUCCCUCUCCUGCCAACUCAACCCAUUCCCUUGGUUUUCCUCUUCCUGUGUCUCGGUUACUGUUUGCUUUGCCUCUUGCCCCAGUACUAGGCUAUCUACCAGUGGUGGGGUUCACCUCUCCCACACUGGUAGAACUCAUUAUUCUUUCUCUCAGGGCGUCCUUCUACAGAAGACCGAAGAAUCCCUAAGGAAAAACCUCAAUUUACAACCCACGGAAGACUUCUCCACUAUUUCCCUGAAACUUGGAUCUGGAAUCUGUUCUCUGUUGGCUCCAAUGGCAGCAGGAAUGUCCCAGUCGCAGUGCCUGCGGCUUCCACAGACUGGAAAGUCAAGACGUUCUGCUUGGCUGGAAGGGGAUUUGGCCUUGCGCCGACCGUGAGCCUCAGAACGGGCCAGCCCUUCUUUCUGGAUGUGACGUUGCCAUACUCUGUCAAACGAGGAGAGACCUUCGCGCUGAAGGCGACUGUCUUCAACUACCUGCAGCAGUGCAUACAGGUGUGUGCCUGUGCUACAGGUAACACUGUAUGGGACAGACCUACCAUGCCCUCCAGUUUUAGACUGUGUUGUGCCAAGCCAUCUCUCCUGGGUUGCCCAGUUACUCACCUCCACCUGUUGUUCCCUCAGAUCCACGUGGCCCUGGUGAAAUCCUCAGACUUCCAGGUGGAGCUGUGCCGGACCUGCAGGGACAAGGAAUGUCUAUGUGCGGAGGAGUCCAAGACUUUCAAGUGGAAUGUGACGGCAGUCCAGCUGGGUACAGCAACAAAAAUGGGAGUGGUGAUGGAGAACCCUAAAACUGAAGUGAGAGGGAGUGGGAGGUCCAGGGAAACUGGCAGAGUGUUGCCUCCUCUGGAUCCUGAAGUUCAU